UACGGAGGGGGCUAGCGUUGUUCGGAAUUACUGGGCGUAAAGCGCACGUAGGCGGCUUUGUAAGUUAGAGGUGAAAGCCCGGAGCUCAACUCCGGAAUUGCCUUUAAGACUGCAUCGCUAGAACGUCGGAGAGGUAAGUGGAAUUCCGAGUGUAGAGGUGAAAUUCGUAGAUAUUCGGAAGAACACCAGUGGCGAAGGCGACUUACUGGACGACUGUUGACGCUGAGGUGCGAAAGCGUGGGGAG
rnacentral:rRNA from 1 species